rnacentral:misc_RNA from 1 species
GACCCGACGUUGGUCGACGAUCGUCGGACGUUGUCGAGCAACGCGCAGCGCAGCACAGCGCGCGACGCAACGCGACGGCGGACGCGGCCGCUAAUUAUCAAUGGCGCGAUGACGCGACGCCGUACAAAUGGCGGGUAAUGAAACAGCUGUUCACGCUGCCGCCGGCUCGACAUCUAGCGGAGCGCGGGCGCGAUCCGGCGCGCGUCGGCGACGACGUCGACGUAGAGUACGUCGCGGUGAGGAGGAACGCAGACCGCCGAGGAGGACCACCACCGCGACGGUGCUCGCGGGUGACCUGAGGAGGAACAUGGCCGCUGGCUGCUGCGGCGCGAAGAAGCAGAGGCUGGGCGGUACGUCGAGCCUAUCGCCUUGCGACGGCAGCGUUGUCGCGCGACACGGUGCUCCUCAACCGAGGAAGUGCACGAUCGCCCAGCCGGACAUGGGUUUCUUCUGCUUCGACGUGCUCUACUGCCAGCUACACCAGCUGGACCCGCCGAAGGCGCCCAACUUCAGCAACGAAGCGUUCCCUUUAUUUGUGACGUGGACAAUAGGAAAAGAUAUGAGGUUGCGAGGUUGUAUUGGUACUUUUAACGCGAUGCAUUUACACGCUGGGCUACGAGAGUACGCUACAACUAGCGCAUUCAAAGAUUCCCGAUUUAAUCCGAUAACACGGGACGAGCUGCCGCGCUUGCACGUGAGCGUGUCGAUUUUACGGCAUUUCGAGAACGGGGUUGACUAUUUAGAUUGGGAGGUGGGCGUUCACGGCAUUCGUAUAGAGUUCCACAAUGAGAAGGGUAAUAAGCGGACGGCCACUUACUUGCCCAGCGUAGCUAUGGAGCAAGGAUGGGACCAGAUACAAACGAUAGAUUCUCUGCUACACAAGGGCGGCUACAAGGGCCUAGUCACGCCCGACAUUCGUCGUAGCCUGAAACUGACUCGUUAUCAGAGCGAGGAGGUCACCGUGAGCUAUCAGGACUAUAUGACGCAUUGUCACAAUCGAAGAUGCUAGCAACUCGCCUGGGGUCCUGCCCAAGGGCCCCUGCCCCAGAGAUCCGCCGAGACUCGCUAUAACAACGUGCACGCAGUCAGUCCGUCUCACGUCUCGCCGCACGAUAACGCUCGGUACAAUCCCUUGGUGUCCAAUCAGCAGAACACGCAGAUCGUCACGCAGCCCGGUCGCUCGACAUUCAUACACCCGCUACCUUUGCCCCCGAUCCCCCCGGUCAUGGUGCCGAUACGUAACAAUCCGCCCGGCUGGUGGAAUAAUGCGGGUCCGUCCUAUCCGUCUGCGCCGCUUCUUCAUCCUCGACCGCAUCGCUCCUCCUCGACGCAGGAAGUCGCGGAAGUACGCGGGUCCAUGAAGAUGGCAACACAGAAACUCCCACUUUGUAACGGAUGCAUUGGGUCGUCCGUUGUCAACGGCAAUUAACGCUGCCACCAUAUAUAUAUCACUAAGAAUCCGUUCGUGAUUCCGUGAUAUACGCGAGUGGCAACGAACGAACGCUUUCCACGGGUCAGUGAUUCAGCCUAAAAAUGCACUGCCUGCUUCGCGAGGUUUAAUGUACAAACUGAUGUAUAUUCCAUUCUUUGUACGAUAAGUAUUACGUGUGUGUGAACAUUCGUGUGUGAACGACGUACGUCAAACGAAGACGAAACCGAGACGAAAUUUCGGUUUUUUGAUAAACAAUAUUUUUGUUGAUAUAUUUCUCUCUGAUUGGGACAUACAUUCAUCUGGAUGUGUUUAGUGAGAUAGCGUGAGAUAGUAUAUCGUGGUGAAAGCGAUUCUCGCCUUAUCGAAACAAUUACACUCAUCACGUGUAUCACGUGAGUAAGUCGAGUAAGCUUAACGAGAUGACGUAAAUUUUCUGUGGUUAAUCGUUUUUAGUUAGCAAUGUUUAGAGAAGAAACGAGAACUACAGCAAAAAAGAUAAACGAUAGAACGUAAGUUAGACGUAAGACGUAAAAGAAGAGAAAAGAAGACGUAGAGAAAAAUAAAAAAGAGAGAGAGAAAGUGUGGAAGAUCUCAUCGUGAAUUUUUAAGUGUUGUAUGAUUUAUAAAAAUGUUACAAUUCCGUGAUAGCUACGUAGCACAGUCGCGAUAUAUCUUGUAUCGUACAUCUAUUGAUGUAUAAUUACGCAACUUGCGCGCAUUUUACACACACACACACACACACACACACACACACACACACACACACACACACACACACACACACACACAGUUUUACGACUAAUGAACUGAAUACUUGGCAAGAUCGUGACACACAAUUCAACGUCAAUUCUGCUUCUUCUCUCGAACUGCCAGCUAUUAUCGAUAGCGGGCGAUAACACACUGCCAAUUUAUUCGUUGUUGUAUCUUUUAUACUAAGGACAUUCGUUAAGAAAUAAAUGAAGAAUUGUUAUUGUAUCUUAUCUCUGUCACGUCGUGUUUCCGUGUCACAUUGCGUUACUAAUCGAGAUAUUCACCUAAUGAAUGAUUGAUUGGCGAUUUCUCGAAUUGUUCUCGCCUUUUGAGUCUCGAUAUUAACAUUAAUUCGACAAACUGCCACGCGUGCUUCGAUUCAAUGUCAUUACGAUAUUCUAUUAUACGAUACGAAGUAAUAAAACGCGAAGCGCGCGUUUCGCGUUGCAUACGAGCUCUCAUUUUGGCUCGUACGGGGUCUCGUCUGUUUGUGCAACAAAAACUUACAAUAAUGCAGUUUCGCUGUUCAGCUGUAUUACAGCGAGGGAGGAAUAUGAUCCUAACGAUCGUCAUAAAUGUAAAUUUGAAUUUUCGCAAUUUACACAAGCGGCUAAUAUGCUCGCGCGUUGGAUUUUGACAAUGAAAUAGGAGUGCGUUUGCACUCAAACGCAACUCUUUAAUUAAUCGUCACGUACCGUGCAAAUUCGCUGGAUUGCCGUGCAUUUCGUGGCGAAAACUUUCGCCGUGACGUGUCUUGUAAAACUGCAUAGAAUAAGCGCUUCGUCCACAGAUCCGGCCCACUUUAAUCUCAUCAGCUUCAUUUCUCGAUAACCAACGGCAAUCGGCGUCCGUUCUCGGUUUCUCCCAACUCGAGACUAAACGUAUUCGCCCGAGUUGACGUUGACGACGUAACGUAAGACGACAGGCUGAUCUUCGCGUGCAUUCAAACACGCCGGCGCGAAAAGCGGACUUACGAAGCCGCCGACGUUCGAGAUCCACACUGACUUGUAACUUGCAGGCUGCUUUCACCGCGGUGGAGAAAAAACGGAAUAAAGAUUUAUUAUAUUGUCACAA